UUGUCAUAAUACAAAAUGGCUUUUCAAUGAAGCUGUUCUGUGACGGCAUUGCACCGUUCACUUCAUAUUGCUGACAACUUUUGCACGUGUACAUUGUUCGAGCUACCGGCACAGCUAACUCCUUCCAAUUAACUAGAAAAGCUUUAAGUUUAUUUCAAUCAUGGGCCGCUCGCCACAAAGAAAAGGGAGCAAUCGACAGCAUAGAUUGAUAUGCGCCAAAGAUUGCGGUGGAUGAAAUGGAAUCCAAUGCCUAAAACCAUCCCAGGGACUUUUGACCAAGCUAUGCUGGAAAGAAUCUUGAUCGGAGUCGGCUUCAGGAGUGAUCGUCUGCAUGCAUUCAAUUGUGCCGAAGAUUGCGGUGGAUGAAAUGAAUGGCACACUUCCUAAGAUAAUCCCAGGGCCUUUUGAUCAAGUAAUGCUAGAAAGGAUCUUGAUCGGAGUCGGCUUCAGCAAGUAGAACCUUUAGUUAAUGAAUAACUAUCGAUCGUGCCAUUCAUAUGAUGUAAUUUAAUAAUGUCUGUGUUUCACCUGAAUUAAUUUGAUUAAAAUUCAAUGGAAUUUAUCUGAUAGCUGUACACGGUUUAAGUGUGAAGCCUAAUUGGGGCAGGAAACGUAUUGAUAAUGUAUUUCUUUUCUAUUGCAGGGAGUGAUCGUCUGCAUGCAUUCAAUUGUGCCGCAGAUUGCGGUGGAUGAAAUGAAUGGCACACUUCCUAAGAUAAUCCCAGGGCCUUUUGAUCAAGUAAUGCUAGAAAGGAUCUUGAUCGGAGUCGGCUUCAGGAGUGAUCGUCUGCAUGCAUUCAAUUGUGCCGAAGAUUGCGGUGGAUGAAAUGAAUGGCACACUUCCUAAGAUAAUCCCAGGGCCUUUUGAUCAAGUAAUGCUAGAAAGGAUCUUGAUCGGAGUCGGCUUCAGGAGUGAUCGUCUGCAUGCAUUCAAUUGUGCCGAAGAUUGCGGUGGAUGAAAUGAAUGGCACACUUCCUAAGAUAAUCCCAGGGCCUUUUGAUCAAGUAAUGCUAGAAAGGAUCUUGAUCGGAGUCGGCUUCAGAAAUGAUCGACAACUUGCAUUGAUGUGUGCCAAAGAUUGCGGUGGAUGACAUGGAACCCAAUGCCUAAAAUCAUCUCAGGGAGUUUUAAGCAUUUAAUGCUAGAAAGGAUCGUAAUCGGAGUCAGCUUCAGUAAGUAGAACAAGCAAUUAUCGUGCGGUUAGUGUGAUUUAUCAUAAUAAUGCCGGUGUUUCACCUGAAUGAAUUUGAUUAAAAUUCAAUGGAUGAAUUAUAAUAGUUGUUCGAGGGUAAAAAUUUGAGAAAAAAAUACUAUUCAUUCACUCACAUUCACAUUAAUUCAUUCUUUUCCGCUGCAGUAGAUGAUUGGAAAUGUUUUCCUACAUUAGGUCAUGUUAGGACCAUGUCGAUAUAUCAGCAUUACUGAUACCUUCUAUCAGUUUAGAUGUAUCGUUUUAGAAAUAAAGCAUUUUAUGUUUCUGAAGAGCCAUGUCUCAGUCAAUUGGUCCACAAAAUCACAGGAACAUGCAAAUACGCUGAUUGCUAUCUAUAUGGCCUUAGAAUGCUCUCUCAUGAAUGGCCCAUACCAUUAUUUUUUACGUAGAUUCACAUCUAUUUUCUAAUACAGGUGUGUUUUUAUGUGGUCUCUUGGUACAGUCUGAGACAUUUAACUAAGAGUUUCUUUUUCCCGACACCAUCCCAGACCCCGUUUGUCUGACAUUCAGUCACAUAUCUCUUAUGAGAAUAUAUUUUAUACAGCGCUCUUGAUGUAGAUGCAAGCCAUGAAUGCAGGGAGUUUGACACACCUGCUUUUAGCAAAACACAGCGUUUAGCAAACAAGCAAAUUUUAGCAACAAAACAAAAAUUGUUCAGAACCUACAACAAAUCAGCAUCAACGAGAACCGUAAAAUUUGAGGAAACAACCAAAGAAUGCUGAAUUUGAUGCCGUUUCUUUCGUAUUUCGUAAACCAAAGCGAUCUUUCUUUCGAUUGAAGAUCGACUCACGCGUUAUUUAUGUGACGCGGUACGGAUGCGGUGACGCACAAAACUGAUUUACAAAUCUAUCGAUACAGCUAUUAGAGUGUUAGUAACCGCUUGGCUCAAGGUUGCAAUAUUUGCGUUCGCUUAAAAGGUAAAGAGCUAAGGCGGCACUUACAAAUGAUCUUCUAUACAGAGAUUGAUGCAGACAUUCCGAGAUAUUCCCUAUGGGAUGCAUAUUAAACUGUUCGAUCAUAAUAUUUGUGCGAUCGAUAAUCAAAAAUAACCCGCAGGAAAAAGAUCAAAAACGGGUGUGUAGUUUUGGCUCGUAGAUAGAUCUUGAUCGAUUCAACGAUUCUUUCUAUUCAUCAUAAAGAUCUUUCUUGCCGGUGAGACGUUACGUUUAUGUAACACGUUCCGUUCCGAUCGGAUUGUUCUAGUUUACAAGUGCAUUUUCCAUGAUGGAAAUAUAGAGACUAUUGGUAAUUUGAGCGCCGCCGCCAUCAUCGACUGUGACGAAACGAAUGCUAAACAAAUGUUAUUAACAAAUCAUGUCUUUCUGUUGAAGGUUAACUUACAUGCCAGAGCCGGCUGCAUCGUAGUGAACCAAACUUAUCCAAAUAGCAACACCCAACUCACAUUGAAGAUAAUGAAAAAAGACGAUAAGCAGCCAAAGGAAAAGUUGUUGGACCGGAAAGUUAGACACCCUACUGCAACGUCUUCCACCAAAUCCAUCAUUAUGAAUCUAAUAAUAGCAUUUUUUCUUUAUUUGCUGAGACGCACCAUAGAAGCUGGUGGGAAAAGUGCCAUUACAAAGUAUAGUAAAUUUAUAAAGUAAACCACAGUGCGGUGCCGCCAUUGCAAAGAAUGUCAAUAAAUUUAUUAUGCUACAGUA